rnacentral:rRNA from 1 species
CCUGAGAAACCCGAAAGAUCGAAUGGGGAGAUUCAUCGUCAGCGAUUUUGGUACGUGUGCGGCUCGCGAUGUUCURRGGACUCCGGUCUCGCGGCACGCGUCCGCAUGUUUUUUAUUGCUGAAAUCGUCGGCGUGCACUUCUCCCCUAGUAGGACGUCGCGACCCGUUGGGUGUCGGUCUACGGCACGGUAGGGUAGCCUGUCGCGUGUGCGCUUNACGGCGUUACGCGGGGCAGACCUCCGUUCGCCCGACCGGCUGCUCGGCGGUACACGCAAGAUAUCUGGCCGCRGGCAUACGAACUGCGUCCGGCCCGUCGCAAGCGCGGGCAAGUGUUUCUCGGCUGUGCGGAUCCAAUGCCGUCACCGAGCCUUGCCAGCUGUUGGCUGACGGUGUUCUCGGACUGGCUAAUAAAAUUAUGAUAUCGGUCGGCGACGCUAUUGCUUUGGGUACUUUCAGGACCCGUCUUGAAACACGGACCAAGGAGUCUAACAUGUGCGCGAGUCAUUGGGAACUGUUAAGCCUAAAGGCGCAAUGAAAGUGAAGGUCGGCCUUGCGCCGAUCGAGGGAGGAUGGGCCGCGUNACGAUGCGGUCCCGCACUCCCGGGGCGUCUCGUUCUCAUUGCGAGAGGAGGCGCACCCAGAGCG